UACGUAGGGGGCAAGCGUUGUCCGGAAUCAUUGGGCGUAAAGAGCGUGUAGGCGGCCCGAUAAGUCCGCUGUGAAAGUCCAGGGCUCAACCCUGGGAUGCCGGUGGAUACUGUCGGGCUCGAGUCCGGAAGAGGAGUGUGGAAUUCCUGGUGUAGCGGUGAAAUGCUCAGAUAUCAGGAGGAACACCAAUGGCGAGGGCAGCACUCUGGGACGUGACUGACGCUGAGACGCGAAAGCGUGGGGAGCAAACAGG
rnacentral:rRNA from 1 species